GGGCAACAUAUUGAGACCCCAUCUCUAAACAAAAUUUAAAAAUUAGCCGGGUGCGGUGGUGUGCUCCUGUGGUCCCAGCUACUCAGGAGGCUGAGACGGGAAGAUCACUCAAGCCCAGGAGGUGGAGGCUGCAGCGAACUGAGAUCAUACCACUGCACUCCAGCCUGAAUGACAGAGCAAGACCUUGUCUCUCCGGGAAAAAAAAAAAAACCUGUAAACACUGUUCCUACCUUGUGGGCCGUACCCAGACUAGCUGCUGCCAGGUCUGGUCUUUGGGCCUACAGUGGUGGCCCUGGUGUGGGGGCAGCCUCCCCCUUCGCUUUGAGCAGUGGCCUUCGUUCUGCAGCCAUCCAGUCACUGCUGGCUUGAUCUCAUCCCAGCUGGCGAUGGAUGGUGCCCACUCGAGACCCCGCCACUGAGCACCAAGGUUGGGGGCGGGCUCAGCCUUGGCCCCCACCACACUCUGAAGAAACAGGCCUUGGAACUGGUUUCUGAAAAGUCACUCCUGGUCCAGUAACUUCUUCUCUAACUGGGCACCUUCUUUUUUAGCAUGUGCAUCUGUUUGUGAGUCUGGGACUCCUGGGUGGUCUGGGCAUCUGCCUGGGCCUCCUCUGUCUUCCCCGCCCCACGGCCUGUCUCGGAGAAUGUUCCCUCCGCCCUGAGUGUUUUUGCAGCCCCUCCUGACAGCCCCGAGGUGAAGCUCUCUCUUCUGCUCUUGUGAUCUGUCCUUUUGAUUUCCUGCCGCCUGCUGCUCCUCGUGAAGAGCCGCCUCCUGGGGAGGCCACUCCAGGUGGCCACACCGGCACAGAGCUCGUGCACCCAGCUCCCAGGCCCAGCCGGAUGCGCUAUUUGCAUAAUGGUUAAUUGAUUGUGGCUCAGGCUAAUUGGUCAACAGAGCGGAUUGCCAGUAAACCGGCACCACGCUCCAGGAGUGGAAUGGGACUAGAGGCCGUCUAAAUUGCCAGCCAGGAGGAGAUGCAGAAGCCACAGCGCUCACCGCUGCUUGGAACUGUCUUUGCACGCAGGAAGUGGACCCCCAGAACCAGCCCUUGCGCGGCCUGGCCUCCCUGCCCCAGCCGCCCCCUCGCUCGCUCGUAGUCACGACCUGCUCCCCCCAGGAGCCCCCUCCCGCCCUCUCCCGUGCACUGCCAUCCUGGGGGCUGCCUUCCCCCAGCAGCGAGCCUGGAUAACAAAUGAAGGCAGCUUCCCAAGGAUGUAGUUUUCUUUAAAGCCUUCAGUAUGUAAAACAAGGCUGAUGCGCUUUUUUUUUUUUUUUUUUUUUAGUCAUGGGGGGUGCUUUUCUCUGGAGAGGCGGAUGGGUGACUCACGUUUCAGAGCCCAAGCUGCCCCUCCCGCCCCCGGGGAGGUGGUCGGUUCUCCCCUGAGCAGUGCUCUCUCCACAUGGCCUGCCUUCUCCCCUGACCCAGGCUCCCUCCCUGAGGGCGUAUCUUGGGGCCAGGGCAGCCCUGUCUGAGCAUCUGUAGCUCAGGCUGGAUCGGGAGACACGGUGGACUGACUGGCUCUGUCUCCCAGACAAGGGGCUUGUGGACACAGGCUGGAUCCUUCUCUGGUGGGGGGAGCAUCCUGGGCCCUGCAGGGUGCUGAGCAGCGUCCCUGGCCUCCACCCACUCCAUGCCAGGAGCACACCCCAAGUCGUGACAACCACAGAUAUCCCCAGACGUCGCCCAGUUCCGCGGGUGGGAACCCCUGCCCUAGACCACGGGACGGCAUCAGGGUGGGCGCCAUGCCCUCGCCCCAGUGCAGUCCAGCCUUCCCUGCCCUCAGCGUGGCUGUGGGACGACCCCAUGUGUUUACCAGGUGCCCCGUGGGGUGCGGAUGGUUCGGCACAGCAGCCUGAGCUCAGAGGACAUGGCUUGCUCCCCGCCCGCCACCUUACACGGGGCUCUUCCGGAGCUAAAUCUUGUCGGGUGAGCGUUGGGGGCUGUUUGUAUUCUUCCCCUGAUGGAUGGGUCGCCUAAAACGGCAGCCUGGCUCCUGGUGGGUGUCCUCGGCCUCCCCACGCCUUGUGUUGCUGUGCGUUCCUGCGGCUUGCCUGAGCCGGAGCCCUCACAGUGCUCUCUGGCACCCACGCGGCGCUCCUCCAUGCAGACUCUUUCCACGCGAGAAGCGCCAUGUACACAUGCUCCAGCAUGUACGCGCUCCCUGCAGGACAUCUGUGCACCCGCCUCACCACAGCCUCCCUGGCCCACUGCUGCUCUGUGAGCCCGGCUGGGCCCAGGCCUCGUCUCCCCUACCCCUCCGAGCUCCGUGCUCCCUGUCCCCUCCGGCUCUGCCUUGGCCUGUCGCCCCCGCAGCAGUGCAGGACACCACCAUGCCUCCGGCCCCGACUCCCGCCAGGGCUGGCGCACCCCAGCUGCGUUCCUGAGCCCUCCCCACCAACAGGGACCUCAGCCCUCAGGGACAGAACCUCACAAGCACAGGGACCUGCCAGCCCCUGCAGGGAGCAUGCAGCCUCAGGGACUCACUCACUGUCUCCUGUCUCUUUCCUAGAGCUGCUGUUCAUUUUCUCAAAGGUGAAAUUCCUCAGCACAGCGUCUAGUCUUGGGGGCGGGGAGCACUGGGCCACUUGGGGGCAGGGGGUGGGGGGCGGCUCUGAGGGCUCAGUCUGGGGCCAACCUCCCAGCCAUCCCUAAGCCUGGGGCCAGGGCUGGGGCAGCCCCAGUCCUCCCCGCCCUGUGAGAAGCCCUGAGCCAGCGCGGCACUGAGAGCUGACGGUCCCACUCUGGCUGCUGCAGGUGGCCCGUGUUACUGGGUGACAGGGCCGGAGGCCGUCCACCCCGCCUCCUGCCAUACAAGCUGCAAAGGACACCUGCUUCCACCUUGGAAAUAUUAGUGCAGUUUUCUGAACUACGUCCCGACAUUUGGCUCAUAGGAAUGAGCCCAGGGGCGUCCAGUUAAGCCUGGCAGGCUAAGUGCUUAUUUAUCUCCACUCUCUCCUGAAACGCCCCUGAAACGCCACAGAGUGAAGUGCAGAGAACAGGAGGGGGGGCAGUGGCAGCUGAGCAUGUCUACAGGCUUUGAAAAGCAGGGAAGGGUGGGCAGGAGACCUCCUGGGCCAGCGACCAGGAGGACAGCCAGCAGGGAGCGGCUGGUCUGCACCACGGGGCCGCAGAAAGACACAGUGGGCAGACGUGGGCAGCUCCUGGGGGGCUGCAGGGGGAACGCACCACGGGGCUGCAGAAAAACAGCAGGCAGACAUGGCAGCUCCUGGGGGGCUGGAGGGAUGCGGGGAUAACCAGCAGAAGGCAGUGGGUGGCUCUGGGCAGGAGGGAAGCGCCUCCCUGAGGUUGGCAGUGGGGCCCAGCUGCCAGCCUCACAUCCCCCCACCCCCAAGGCCAGAAGAGACAAUAGAGGGGGCGGGGUCCUCUCCCAGAGAACAAAGGGGCCCAGUGGAGCAAAGCCACAGAUGCGGAUACUGGGGCUCCCCUAAAGUCACAGUCUCCUGCCCUCAGCAGCCCCUGCCACUGCCUUCACCAGGCCCAUCUCACACACGGCUUGUCACCGUGCACAGAGGGAUCAACGGCCAGGGGGCCCAACACAUUGGAGGCCACGCUCCCAUGACAAAGCAGGGCCUGCACAGCGAAGAAGGGAAGAGCUCCGAGGAAGGAGGAUGCAGUGAGCGUGGGGCCCUGGAGCGGCCCGGGAUUUUGCAUUAUGGAAGAAGAGCCAUUGCUGUGAAGAAGAAACGUUCCAGGAACGAGUGACUCUCGGAUGUUACCAUAUAGAGGAGAGAAGCGCCCUGGUGGAUUGGGAGGCUCUUGAAGAAGCCCCUCCCACAGCACAGAUGGACCGACAGAGCUGGAAGAUAUGAAGGAUCAGGAAGUCAGAGGCAUAGUCCAGGAAAUCUAGCCCCUGAUAGGAGUUUCAGAAAAAAAGAAACUUUGCAUUUCCAGGUUUAAAAGUCCGGAAAGUCCACCCAAGAAUGGAAAUUACCCAAACGACAACACAUCGCUGUGAAAUUUUACAACUCCUGGAUUAAACAAAGGCCCUGAAAGCUUCCAGAGCAAACAGAUCACUAAACAGCUCACCAGACUGGGGCUGGGCAUGGUAGCUCACGCCUGUGAUCCCAGCACUGUGGGAGGCCAAGGCAGGAGGAUCUCUUGAGGCCAAGAGUUCGAGGUCAGCCUGGGCAACAUAGCUAGACCCUGUCUCUA